GGUCGGUUGGCCGAGCGGUUAGGCAAAGGUCUGCAAAACCUUCUACGGCGGUUCGAACCCGCCACCGACCUC
rnacentral:tRNA from 1 species